rnacentral:lncRNA from 1 species
GGUUCAAAAUUUUUCUUCUUUCUUAUAAAUCUCAUAAAUCUUUUUGUAAUCACCACCAUUUCUUCGUCAUCUUCCAAACCCUUGAUAGAGUCACUUGAACUUUCUUCAAUGGUCGAUUACUUGAGAGCAAUGGUCUUCCUCUUAGGCUCCUUUUCUUCUUUCUUUAGUGCCAUGCUCAACUCAUGUGUCAUGAGUGAACCAAUGAGUUCUUCUAGGGA